AAUGCAGACAAAGUACAGGGGGACAGGUCAUUGUACCUUUGCAAUUGAAAAUAACCUGAGUAAUGUGCAUGAGUUAUAGAAUACAUUUUUUAAGAAGUCCUGAACAGUAUCGUCAGAAAUUGCACACCAGAGGCACUUGCCAUUUAAGUGAGCUGGGCGGUUAGUGGGCUCGACAGGUGUCUGCAUGAUAUUGCCUUUAAGUAAAUAAUCAUAGGCCCCUCAUGUGCGUCUCAUGUUCAUCUAGUUAUACACAGUUUAUCAUAUCCCUAAUCCCUGAACUGUAACCUUGGCCUCCAACAUAGCUUAUAAUGACCUCAACUAAUGCAAGGCUGUGCUUAUAAAUAAGGUAAGUAUUAAGACUAUACUCACUAAGGACCCAGAAUAUAAAGAGAGGCUGAAAGAUAUAAAUACUUUCAGAGCAAAAGUGAAGUCACCCAUAAAAUGCAAUGCACCCUGGGAUUAGGGAUGGACACAUCGUUGUGACAUGGAGCUGCUAUUAGUCAGCAGAAUACGGGUGUCUAGCGUUUUGUAUAAAGAGCAAACCACCAGUUGUGCCAGUAUCCCUCUGCACAUGGUAAGUGUUUUCUUGGUUUUCUUUUAUUCAACGUGAAAUAUAUGUAUUAUAAAUAAUAUAUGGAUUUACAAAUGAACAAGUAAUUCUCCUGCAACUCUCAGGCUUUUGUGAUUACAUAUGAGCUACAACAUAGAGAUAUAUAUAUACUUCAAUCCUGUGCAUCUGUCUGUAAUAUCCCUGUCAGAUCUUGAACUAACAUAUAUUGAUUGUGCUAUUUCUCACUAAAACCUGAAUACAGUCUAAAUAUUCCCGGCCAUGAUAUAUUUUUUUCAGCACAUAAAGACACCUACUCAUCUCAUCCAACGAACUGUCUCAGAGUAUCACCAGAACUCCAGCAUGGCUCUCUCUAAGACUCAGCAGACAUUUAUGGAUGUAGCUAUUCCAUCUCUCAAAAGAGGAGUAAUUUCAUUCAAUGAACUUGCAUGCAAACUCCUCGUUACCAAUGUCUCAUACAUUCUUAAAACUCAUGUCAUGUUUGAAGAACUCCGUAAUAUAAUAGAGGCAUCUCAGAAAAGCAUUGGGCAGUCAGAGAGGGCAGCUAGCAGUGAACUGUACAAGUUAGACACACAUUAUGAGGAGCUCACAGUCCAAAAGGGAGUCCUUGAAAAAAAGAAAAGAGAGAGAAAAACACAGAGAGAUAGCUUGACCAUACAAUUAAGCCAGUGCAAGGAAACGUUAAAUGCGUACUCCAAUUCUUUGGAACGGGCCAAGAGGCUAGCUCGUGACGCACAACAACGGCUUCAGAACCAAGAACACAAGAAGAGGGAGUCACAGAAACUAAGAGAUGCUGGUUAUGGACUAUUGGCCCUCCCUAUAAUUGGGUGGAUAGCAGGGCCAAUCAUGAUUGAUGCUGGUAUCAAAGACUAUGACAACGCAUCCUACACGGCAAGACAAGCCACCGACGUGGUGCAAAGCGCUGAGAGAGACGUAGCCAAUUUUUCCUCAAAGGUGUCCCAGUUGACUUCCGAUACUGAUAACAUGAAUGGCAAAAUCAAAAACUUGUAUUGGGUGAUAGAGGGGGUAGACCGCGAGAUCUCAGACAUCAAACAGCAGCGUACUGUGAUGUCUGAUAUUCAGGCUAUGAUGAGGAGUUCUGUUACUCUUUUGGGCAGCUUGGCCAAAAGCACUAACGCAGCCGAGCUCGAGACACGCCACAUCAUGGUCCUGGGGUCGCUGAUGAAAAUCCUGCAGCAUGUGUUUGCACUUUCCGUUAAGUUGCUCGGAGACCGUUUCUACAAUGAUGCGGAGCUGAAAGGUCUCAUCAUGACUCUGCAGAAGAAUCAGCACAAACUUCAAGCGCUUCCUAAUGCAAAUAAGAAUGACUCUCUAGAUUAUUUCUCUUGAGUUUUUCUUACUUUCUCACAUACAUUUGCCUCUCGAGUUUUGCCUGCAAGCUUAUAAUGUGUGUCUGUAAUGUUUGGCACAGCUAAUGUAUGGGUCAGUUGCCUUUUGCUGUUGAAAAAAGAUAAAUAAAAAUGUGGUGUCAACAGGUGUCA
ensembl:lncRNA